UAAAAAGACUAAUUCACCUCUUCCCACAGGAAAAAACGCUGGAGCAGAGGGAGGGAAGGAGCAGGGAGAACUGCAGCCCCCAGCAGCUCGGUCAGUGCCGGAUGGACUCGGGACUGGGAAAGGUCACUCAGUGUGAGGGCAGCUUGUCCAGGAGAUGGAAUUCCAGUGCUACAGUAUAGGUAGCUCAUCGUGAUCCCAAAAGGAGCCUUUCUGCCUUCAGGACAAGUUCUGGUGCCACUGGAGCUGUUGGGAGAAGCGGAGGGUUGGCAGUGACAGGCCUGGAAUGCUGUUGCUGUGGCACAGAGGCUGCUCCCUGGCAGGUUCUUGGGUUGGAUUCCUUGGCUGCCACGUGGCCUCAGUUGUGUAGGGAACAAAACAUGGAAUGGGGAAGCAAAGCAGGGGAGGUUCUGGUUUCAGAGAGAAUCAUUGAAUUUUCUCUUUCUGCAGGCGCACUGAGCUGGUCUAACUGUGGCAAGAAGAACAAGUGGGCCCUGAAGGUUUGGAGCAGUCUAGAAGGUUCCUCGUGCCUAAAGGAUCCGGGCAAGUGCAGCACUGGAAGAGUACGGAAUAAGGAAAAGUGCCUCAGUUCUCCUGAAGCUCAACUUUGUAAAAUAUUCAUGAAGAUAAAAUUCUACUGUACUGAGCUGUUGGGUCCCAAAUACUCUUGGAGGGAGAGGCAGAAACUCCCACUGCUGCUGGGGCUGAACUGCUUGCAGUGCCCAGGUAGGACUCGGCCCUGAUGUCUGAGUGCUCUCCAGUCCCCCAGGAUGGAUCCCAACUGUCAGCCCCCGGCUCCAUAACUUGAGGAGAGGGUGUUCCUGCAAGCCCAGCUGCUGUGUUGGGGAUCCUGUGUGCACCUCUUGCCCUGGCCUGCUGUGAAUGUAUUUGUGUUGCAGCUCAAUCAUGUCCCAAUAAAGUGGUGAUUGUGUGA